GCCUGAACCAGCCAAGUAGCGUGCAGGAUGACUGCCCUAUGGGUUGUAAACUGCUUUUAUACGGGAAUAAAACGGGCCACGUGUGCCCCUUUGCAUGUACCGUAUGAAUAAGGACCGGCUAAUUCCGUGCCAGCAGCCGCGGUAAU
rnacentral:rRNA from 1 species